rnacentral:rRNA from 1 species
CCCUUAGAUGUUCUGGGCCGCACGCGCGCUACACUGAUGCAUUCAACGAGUCUAAAACCUGGUCUGAUAGGGCUGGGUAAUCUUUUGAAAGUGCAUCGUGAUUGGGAUAGAUGAUUGCAAUUCUUCAUCUUCAACGAGGAAUGCCUAGUAAACGCAAGUCAUCAGCUUGCAUUGAUUACGUCCCUGCCCUUUGUACACACCGCCCGUCGCUCCUACCGAUUGAAUGAUCCGAUGAAUACCAUUGAUUGAGAGUACGAAUGGGUUCGCUCAUUUCUGCUGCUCGAGAAGUGGAGUAAAUCUUAUCAUUUAGAGGAAGGAGAAGUCGUAACA